rnacentral:rRNA from 1 species
UACGUAGGGGCCUAGCGUUGUCCGGAUUUAUUGGGCGUAAAGAGCUCGUAGGCGGUUUGGUGAGUCGGGUGUGAAAUCUCCACGCUCAACGUGGAGGAGCCACCCGAUACUGCCAUGACUAGAGUCCGGUAGGGGAGUGUGGAAUUCCCGGUGUAGCGGUGAAAUGCGCAGAUAUCCUGAGGAACACCGGUGGCGAAAGCGGCGCGCUGGAUCCCUUCUGACGCUGAGGCGCGAAAGCCAGGGGAGCAAACGGG